GGAUGAACGCUGGCGGCGUGCCUACUCCAUGCAAGUCGAGCGAACAGACGAGGAGCUUGCUCCUCUGACGUUAGCGGCGGACGGGUGAGUAACACGUGGAUAACCUACCUAUAAGACUGGGAUAACUUCGGGAAACCGGAGCUAAUACCGGAUAAUAUAUUUAACCGCAUGGUUCAAUAGUGAAAGACGGUUUUGCUGUCACUUAUAGAUGGAUCCGCGCCGCAUUAGCUAGUUGGUAAGGUAACGGCUUACCAAGGCAACGAUGCGUAGCCGACCUGAGAGGGUGAUCGGCCACACUGGAACUGAGAAACGGUCCAGACUCCUACGGGAGGCAGCAGUAGGGAAUCUUCCGCAAUGGGCGAAAGCCUGACGGAGCAACGCCGCGUGAGUGAUGAAGGUCUUCGGAUCGUAAAACUCUGUUAUUAGGGAAGAACAAAUGUGUAAGUAACUAUGCACGUCUUGACGGUACCUAAUCAGAAAGCCACGGCUAACUACGUG
rnacentral:rRNA from 1 species